rnacentral:rRNA from 1 species
GAUGAACGCUGGCGGCGUGCCUAAUACAUGCAAGUCGAGCGAAUGGAUUAAGAGCUUGCUCUUAUGAAGUUAGCGGCGGACGGGUGAGUAACACGUGGGUAACCUGCCCAUAAGACUGGGAUAACUCCGGGAAACCGGGGCUAAUACCGGAUAACACUUUGAACCGCAUGGUUCGAAAUUGAAAGGCGGCUUCGGCUGUCACUUAUGGAUGGACCCGCGUCGCAUUAGCUAGUUGGUGAGGUAACGGCUCACCAAGGCAACGAUGCGUAGCCGACCUGGGAGGGUUAUCGGCCACACGGGGACUGAGAACCGGCCAAGACUCCUACGGGAGGCAGCAGUAGGGAAUCUUCCGCAAUGGACGAAAGUCUGACGGAGCAACGCCGCGUGAGUGAUGAAGGCUUUCGGGUCGUAAAACUCUGUUGUUAGGGAAGAACAAGUGCUAGUUGAAUAAGCUGACACCUUGACGGUACCUAACCAGAAAGCCACGGCUAACUACGUGCCAGCCGCCGCGGUAA